ACAACAUUGGCAUAAUUCCAAGGUCUAGGUCUGAUGCAAGAAAUAAUUCCAAGAUUUCUUCCCAGUGAUGGAUAAUGCUCAAAAGAAACUUCCCAUAAGUGACAUUGUCCACAUGCCUAAUCUCCAAUUUACUUUCAGAUGCUCAUGUUGCAGGGUGGAUAAAAGUAAAAUUCUAAACCAUCUCUUUGUUUCUUAUGAUUUGGCUACCAGAGUUGAGAAUUUUUUUCCCCAUUCCUUUGGACUUAAAUGCUGGGGCUACUGCUAUUCAGGCAUUUUGUGAUGGAACACCCCUGCAAAAGACGAUGCACACAAGCUUUUCUUGCACAUCAUUUCUAUAAUUGCCUGUUGGGAAAUCUGGAAAGCCAGAUGUGGUCAUUGGCAAAGCGGGAGCUGGUGGUAUUGUGCGGAAAAGAAAUGGACAGAUGAUUAUGGUCUUUGUUGCCCCUAUCCAGUUCUGUACUAACAAUUACUUAGAAACUCGGGCUGCUCUGUUCAGGAAAGGAGCAUCCAAGUGCAACUCUGUUACGGAGAAGGGAAUCAAGUAGUAGACAUCUUAGCUACCUCUCUGGAUAGCAAGGAAUUUUACUACAAUGAAGUUGAACUUCCAUGUGACGCGAGAGGUAAGUUUGAAAAAUGAAGUCAGUCUUGCCAAAUAGACAAGAGCAUCAAAAUCGCUGAUCAAGGAAGUUGUUUCUCUUAUAAACACAUGUAGUUGUUGUUUAAUGUAUCCAUUACAGUGAAAAAAGUUAUUUCUCUUGAAAUUUUUCUCCAAUUAUGAUGGCCAAGAAAGAAGAAAUUGUUAUAACUGUUGUGAAGCUAGCUUUUCAUGUAAUCUACUCACAGUGAUUUACUACAUUAAAACAAAACGAAUCACAAUAAUAACUUACUACAUAAAAACACAUAGCGCUAUUAAGUUAUCCAAAUACGAAUGCAUCAAUUACAUAGAAUGGUCUCACAGUCACCUUUUACAAUGAUACACAUGCCAGAAUUAAGUUUUACCUUAAGUUUCCUUUCGACAUUAAUAAUAUAUCAUCAUCUCUUAAAAGAAGCAAUAUGCACAAAUUAAUAUCCCUUUGUUUCAGUUUGUUUGUCUUUUCUUUCGAAAUUGAUUAAAAAAUGAAUAUUUUCUUUAUCCUUUUUGGCAACUCUUUAAAUCUAAACAUACACAUGACAUUCUUAAAACCACAAGAUUAAAUGAUAUUUUCAUACAUUAGCUCAUUAUUUGGAAAAUAUGGAAGGCCAGGUGCAAGAGUAGAUGUGAAAAGAUUGUCAUGUAUCCCAACAGAAUCAUUCAGCUAACUCAUCAAUAACUUAUUUUGAUUCCUAACAAGAAGUUCCCUAUUAUCUCCCCUCUCUUGAGCUGGGAAUGUUUUAGAAAAUUGAUGGGUCAUGCUAAAUAUCAGUCAGUUUCUACUGUAGUUAAAUGGAACUAUCCGAGGCCUGGUUAGGUGAAGCUUAAUUGUGAUGGAUGUUCCAAAGAUAAUACAGGCCCUUGUGGUGGCAGAGGGAUCAUCGGGGAUGAUAAACGACACUUAGUCAAUGUGUAAUACAAUGUAGAGACCGGGUAUAAAACUUAUAACAUGGCUGAAACGGUGGCUCUUAGCAUUGGGAUUGAAUGGUGCAGCAGGGAUCAAGAAAAUUGAAAUUGAAUAUGACUCCAAAUUAGUGGUGGACUGGAUCUAGAAUAAAGCUAACCCACCUUGAACCUGUUGGAACAUCAUAGACAACAUUUAUGACAAUCUCAAAAAGAAAGAGAUUUUGGAGAAUUAAACAUUGUUUCAGAGAAAGUAAUGGUGUUACAGACAAACUUGCUAACUGGGGACUUCAAGGCAAUGGUAUAAUUCAAUAUUCCAGAUCUCUGUCUUCCUAAAGACAUUAGAGGAUACAUAAACAUGGAAAGGUUACAACUUUCCUUGUUUAGGAUAAAUAGUCGCAAAGGAUCAUUCUCUUUUGACAGGAACAUGUAAAAGAAUGUAUGAUUUAUAAGAAUAGGCAAGGAAUAUGUUAAUCCUAUUGUUUGUGACCAAAUUUGGAUAUCUACAAUCUAAGAUGUAUGGGGUAUGUUCCAUUCUCAGUAGGUCAUGGGAGUUUUCUCCUCUGUUUUGUAUAGUGUUUGGGGUUAUAAUACAGGUCCAGCUCUUUGAGAAGGAUAGUUGAAGGAAAAAAGAGAUUCAAAAUUAUUUUUAACUUUCAUAAACUAUGAGUCAAGUCAAAAUAAGAUAAACGCAUUAAAACAGGUGGAGUGAUUAGAAUCGAGUAUCUCAUAAUGCAACGUUAUCAAAAAUGGAAAGAGGGAGUUGCUCGGAUGGUAAGCACCCUUCACUUCCAACCCGAGGUUGUGAGAACAAGUCACGAAGGGAGCAAAAAGGGUGGGAACUCCUAGUUUAAGGGGGAAAACGGCUAUCAAAAACAUUAUUUUGCAAUAAGCUAGAUAUCAAAAUUCGUAGACUAAAAGUUAAUAUUCCAACAACAUAUUGUUAGAGAAAACAAACCUUAGAUAAACAUUCAAUAAGGACCAUCUACAAAGGAUGCAUAUCACAUAGUUAGCAGCCAAUUUAACUUUAACAAUAUGACGUGGAUUUUCAAGAUGCUUGCUACUCUCGUAUUUGUCUUAUAUCAUUUCCCUCUAUAUCUGACAUCAUUCCAGGGCCACCACACUUUCACCACCAAAAUCGUCUCUCUGGUAGAUAUUUCUACUUCGUUCUUUCUUAUUUCCUAAGCAAACCUUUUGCUGUGAAUUGAAUAUGCAAACCGUUUCAAGAUUAGUCAAAUUGUGGUUUUUUGAACUUCCUGUUUUAUUCAUGCAGUUCCAUAAAACUCCAUGAUAAGAUAUUUUUCAUCAGGUAUAUUCCAACUCUGUUGACUCUAUCAAAUGCAACUAAAUCAACAUUAAGUGGUUGAGAUAGCAAAACAAAUUAAACCAGAACUUUUAGUGAAUAUGGAAUACACAAAUUCUCACCUUUCAUCCCGUUUCAAUACACAUUGCUUCUGUAAAUGGUGUGGGGAUCCAGAUUAUUCAUAAAGAAGGUACCAGUUACUGGUGCACCCUCCAAGUCCUUGUCACUAUGAAGCAUUUGUUGACGUGCACAGGCAUCACAAGCAUUAGCCUUAUGAUUUUCUGAGGAGAUUGGCUGGCCGGACAAAUGUCGUUGUACAUCUUGAACCAAUGCUUGAUUUCAUUGAAGAUGAAUAUAUGGAAGGCAAUCUUCUAUAAGAAGCGACUAUAGACUUUAGCGCGGGAAGUUAAGGGAAGGGUCUAUUCAAACAGGCGGCUUAGGUGUAUUUGUUGGGUUUUUUAUUUUUUUUAAAAAAACUAAUAGAAGAAGGGCAUUUUAGUAAUUUCACUUUAAAAGUUAGGAAGUUCAUGCUUUUAAGGUGGUAAGUAAAAGUGUCUCUUGAAGAAGUAAAUUUUAUUUUAGUAUAGUUUCAUGUGCUCACAAUACAUAUAAGCUUGAGCAACAAGGCAAAGGCAGGAAUGUGGUCUCAUGACUUUCUUGUCAAAUAUUCUUGCCAAAAAAGAAUAAUACUUAUAGCUCGACCUACGUUACAAAUUUCUGCAUAUUUAUUUGGCUUUAAUUUAAUUGCAAGAAAACAUGCCUGUGGUUCAUAUCUUUUUUUUUUUGGUUUUUUAUCUGGUGUUUUGGUAUUCGCAUUGGAGUCCGACUAAUUCGUAUUUGCGUUGCGUAGGACCCAUUUGAAGAAAGCGCUCCCUACUAAGAUUUUUGCAGUCGCUCACAUCUUAUUGCUUAUAUAUAGCUAUAUAUUGCAAUUAAACCCUCUUUUUUUUUUUUUUUUUUUUUAAGGAUCUAAUAUGUCGAUAUCUUCAAAGUGAACGCCCUAUGUUUUUCAUCCUAGACAAGAAAAACCACUCUGCUCGCUAACUUUUUUGUUUUUCUCGAUAUCAUCAGCUGUAUAACUUUUUGGCAGAUAUUCACCAAUUUUCACAUAAAUUCAAUUACACUUUUACCAAGACUUAGCUUGUUGCAUGUGUAUUUUUUUUUGUAGUAUAAACCCAAUCAAAAUCUCUGCUUCAAAUUAAAGUGACAUUUAUUUACCUUCAUAACAACUCCACCUUUCUUUCUCUGAGAGAAGAAGCUAGCUGCAUGACUUUUUUAUUAUUGAGAACAAUGCGUGUUGCGGCAAUGAUGUUUGGGUCAGUAGCACGAACGACGAGGGCAUUUAUCGUCCAACCAGUUUCCACAUUGACAACAUUGUUGUACUACAGCGAUCGCCUUCCUCGUAACCUCAAUUUGGACCGGUUGGUUCGUAAUGACUUGGUCCAUAAUGGAAACUACUUGUUUCGUUUUCUCAUCCAUUUUUUGAGAUGUUUUUGGUAGUACUUACUAAUUAGUUUUUUUUUUUUUUUUUAAAAUCAUUUUAAUUUCUUUUUCACUUGGUUAGCUGAAGGGGAGGGUCCAGAGUAACGAUAAAAUUAUCUUCGUGUGAUUUAUAAAUAAUUGGAUUCGAGCGAUGAAGACAUGAGCCACUGAUAUAAUGCUUGUAGAAUUAGGGAUGUUUUGUGCACCGAAAUGCCACUCUUUUCUCUUAGUUAACUGAUUUCAAUUCUCUUAACUCUUUUUCUCUGGUAUCUUUUUCUCUACUUUGGUAUAUUUAGUAUUGAUGUAAAAUGUGUGAAAUGAAAAUCCUAUCAUCUCUUGGAAACUCUA